CACCGGCGGCUCGAGUGGUAACCGUUAUUAUUGGGUCUAAAGGGUCUGUAGCCGGCCGGAUAAGUCUCUUGGGAAAUCUGGCAGCUUAACUGUCGGGCUUUCAGGAGAUACUGUUCGGCUCGAGGCCGGGAGAGGUGAGAGGUACUUCAGGGGUAGGGGUGAAAUCUUGUAAUCCUUGAAGGACCACCAGUGGCGAAGGCGUCUCACCAGAACGGACCUGACGGCAAGGGACGAAAGCUAGGGGCACGAACCGG
rnacentral:rRNA from 1 species